CUUUCGCUUUCACUUUGCUUCUUGCUGUACAGACUGCUGCUGUGCCGGCUGGCUAGGUCGCUCUAUUGAGCUUGCAUCAGGAUUCUGGGUGAAGAGGACCUAACUCAUGAACCUGCUCAGUGAUAAUACUCCAAAAAAGUGCAAUAUUCCAGCUUCCACUGUAGAUAUGCUGUCAGUACUAUGGCUUUGUACCUAUCUUCAUGCAAAGCUUCUCUCUCUCCAUGUUGUUAACUCAAAAUCAAAAUGCCGAAAGGGACACAUUUCCUACCCUGGAACAAACAAAUCAAACAGAACAAAGGAAUUCUAGAGGGAGUAGAGCUGGACGUCCUGGUGUGACAGAAGUUCAAUCAAACAGAAUUGAUAAGAAAGGUCUUAAAUUAUCUCUAUUGACUGAAACUGGAUUUUACAACUCGACAUGCCCAAAUAGACUUGGAGCCACAGUAUCCCAGAGACUUAUUUGAAAAUUUCAGGAUAUGAGUAUGAAAAGCACCGUGUUAGAAAUGAAGAUUUCUCUAUGAUGUUGGAGAAGACUCUCCUGUACUAUUCCUUUUUACCCUCUUUCCCAGUAAUAACCCUGAAGGCCCCUCUCAGUCUCUGUGCUUUGAAAAUGGUGUUACACUCAGUGCGCACAAAGUGGUCCUGAAGAGCCAUGGUCUUUCACUACACAUUCGUGCGACCCAGGGAGGAGUAUUAAAAAAGUACGGAAGCAUCCCUGGAAUUCUAGAGAUAACUUUGUGGGAACCAAGUGAUCUUUCUAUCUCCCCAGCAUGGAAACAUGUUUUCAACUGUAACACAUCGUGUAAGUCCACCUGAGGGAAUUCAUUCCAUCCAGGACUCAGCCAUGCUUUCAAACCAAUUAAGAUGAUGGACUGUGCAUUUAAUACAUUUUUCCAAUUGUAAAAGAAAAUAUGUAUUACGAAGCAACAAAUCUCUACAUUAUACAUUUUAUCACCUUAUAAAAACCUUUAAAGCAUUUGACUCCAAUAAGGAGCUUGUCUUUUGCCACAAUUCUUUUGAAGUUGUGUUUAUUUAAUCUCUUCAGUUGGAGCCCUGUAGGAUUGUCUCCUUAACACUUUAGCAAUUUAUCAGCAGGAGGAG
ensembl:lncRNA